rnacentral:rRNA from 1 species
UACGUAGGGGGCAAGCGUUGUCCGGAAUCAUUGGGCGUAAAGAGCGUGUAGGCGGCCUGGUAAGUCCGCUGUGAAAGUCCAGGGCUCAACCCUGGAAUGCCGGUGGAAACUGUCAGGCUCGAGUCCGGAAGAGGCGAGUGGAAUUCCUGGUGUAGCGGUGAAAUGCGCAGAUAUCAGGCGGAACACCCGUGGCGAAGGCGGCCAGCUGGGCCGUCCCUGACGCUGAGGCGCGAAGGCGUGGGGAGCAAACAGG